GCCGGUGGCCACAGCUCCGAUUCGACCCCUAGCCUGGGAACCUCCAUAUGCCGCGGGCAUUUCUACCCUUCCAAACAGAAUGGCUGUCCUCCAGAGUUUAGACAACUGGUCCACACUGAAGACAUUGUUUCUGAAAGAGUUCCCAUGACAACCUCCCUCUUCAAGGGUAUAGAGAAUUUAUUCAAAGUCAGAUACAGACUGGCCAAACCACCUUCUACAAAGUGGACAGGAAAAAAGAGCCUACAGAAAAGGUAGGAGUUGUUAUAAAAUUGCCUUAAUUCCGCUCUCUCUGCGUUACAAGCCGGGGGUGGGCAGUGGACUGCCAUGCUGUGU
rnacentral:lncRNA from 1 species